rnacentral:rRNA from 1 species
UGGGGAAUUUUAGACAAUGGGGGCAAGCCUGAUCUAGCCAUGCCGCGUGAGUGAUGAAGGCCUUAGGGUCGUAAAGCUCUUUCUCCAGAGAAGAUAAUGACRGUAUCUGGUAAAGAAACCCCGGCUAACUCCGUGCCAGCAGCCGCGGUAAUACGGAGGGGGUGAGCGUUGUUCGGAAUUACUGGGSGUAAAGCGCACGUAGGCGGAUUAGUAAGUUAGAGGUGAAAUCCCAGGGCUCAACCCUGGAACUGCCUUUAAUAYUGUUAGUCUUGAGUUCGAGAGAGGUGAGUGGAAUUCCRAGUGUAGAGGUGAAAUUUGUAGAUAUUUGGAGGAACACCAGUGGCGAAGGCGGCUCACUGGCUCGAUACUGACGCUGAGGUGCGAAAGUGUGGGGAGCAAACAGGAUUAGAUACCCUGGUAGUCCACACCGUAAACGAUGAAUGCCAGUCGUCGGGCAGUAUACUUUCGGUGACACACCUAACGGAUAA